rfam:Triticum urartu cultivar G1812 contig1112947, whole genome shotgun sequence.
AUACUUACCUGGACGGGGUCGAUGGGCGAUCAUGAAGGCCUGUGGCCUAGGUUGGUGGCCCACAUCGCGCUUGGUGGGUGCGCUGGCCUAUCAUUCCCCAAGUGGGAGAGUGAAUGUUGUAAUUUUUGAUAGCGGAGGUAUGCGUUCGCGCGGCACCUGC